rnacentral:rRNA from 1 species
AGGGGAUGAGUUGUGGAUAGGGGUGAAAGGCCAAUCAAACACCGUGAUAGCUGGUUCUCCCCGAAAUGCAUUUAGGUGCAGCGUUGCGUGGUUCUUGUUGGAGGUAGAGCACUGGAUGGUCUAGGGGGCUUAUCGGCUUACCGAAAUCAGCCAAACUCCGAAUGCUGGCAAGUGUAGCGUGGCAGUGAGACGGCGGGGGAUAAGCUUCGUCGUCGAGAGGGAAACAGCCCAGAUCAUCAGCUAAGGCCCCUAAGUGGUGACUCAGUGGGAAAGGAUGUGGAGUUGCGUAGACAACCAGGAGGUUGGCUUGGAAGCAGCCAUCCUUGAAAGAGUGCGUAAUAGCUCACUGGUCAAGUGAUUCCGCGCCGAUAAUGUAGCGGGGCUUAAG